GAUGAACGCUGGCGGCGUGCCUAAUACAUGCAAGUCGAGCGAACGGACGAGAAGCUUGCUUCUCUGAUGUUAGCGGCGGACGGGUGAGUAACACGUGGAUAACCUACCUAUAAGACUGGGAUAACUUCGGGAAACCGGAGCUAAUACCGGAUAAUAUUUUGAACCGCAUGGUUCAAAAGUGAAAGACGGUCUUGCUGUCACUUAUAGAUGGAAACGCGCUGCAUUAGCUAGUUGGUAAGGUAACGGCUUACCAAGGCAACGAUGCAUAGCCGACCUGAGAGGGUGAUCGGCCACACUGGAACUGAGACACGGUCCAGACUCCUACGGGAGGCAGCAGUAGGGAAUCUUCCGCAAUGGGCGAAAGCCUGACGGAGCAACGCCGCGUGAGUGAUGAAGGUCUUCGGAUCGUAAAACUCUGUUAUUAGGGAAGAACAUAUGUGUAAGUAACUGUGCACAUCUUGACGGUACCUAAUCAGAAAGCCACGGCUAACUACGU
rnacentral:rRNA from 1 species